UACAGAGGGGGCAAGCGUUGUUCGGAAUUACUGGGCGUAAAGGGCGCGUAGGCGGCCUGCUAAGUCGAACGUGAAAUCCCUGGGCUCAACCCAGGAACUGCGUCCGAUACUGGUUGGCUUGAAUCCGGGAGAGGGACGUGGAAUUCCAGGUGUAGCGGUGAAAUGCGUAGAUAUCAGGAGGAACACCAAUAGCGAAGGCAGCUCGCUGGGACGUUACUGACACUGAGGCGCGAAAGCGUGGGGAGCGAACAGG
rnacentral:rRNA from 1 species